rnacentral:rRNA from 1 species
CAGCAGCCGCGGGAAUACGAAGGGUGCAAGCGUUACUCGGAAUUACUGGGCGUAAAGCGUGUGUAGGUGGUUGUUUAAGUCUGUCGUGAAAGCCCUGGGCUCAACCUGGGAAUUGCGAUGGAUACUGGGCGACUAGAGUGCGGUAGGGGAUAGUGGAAUUUCCGGUGUAGCAGUGAAAUGCGUAGAGAUCGGGAGGAACAUCUGUGGCGAAGGCGACUAUCUGGGCCAACACUGACACUGAGACACGAAAGCGUGGGGAGCAAACAGGAUUAGAUACCCCAGUAGUCCCUGUCUCUUAUAC